GGGAAAAGCUCAAAUUUAAAAUCUGGCAGUCUUUGGCUGUCCGAGUUGUAAUCUAGAGAAGUAUUAUCCGCGCUGGACCGUGUACAAGUCUCCUGGAAUGGGGCGUCAUAGAGGGUGAGAAUCCCGUCUUUGACACGGACUGCCAGGGCUUUGUGAUGUGCUCUCAAAGAGUCGAGUUGUUUGGGAAUGCAGCUCAAAAUGGGUGGUAAAUUCCAUCUAAAGCUAAAUAUUGGCGAGAGACCGAUAGCGAACAAGUACCGUGAGGGAAAGAUGAAAAGAACUUUGGAAAGAGAGUUAAACAGUACGUGAAAUUGCUGAAAGGGAAACGCUUGAAGUCAGUCGCGUUGGCCAGGGAUCAACCUUGCUUUUGCUUGGCUUACUUUCUGGUCGAUGGGUCAGCAUCAAUUUUGACUGGUGGAAAAAGUUCAAGGGAAUGUGGCAUCUUCGGAUGUGUUAUAGCCUUUGUUCGCAUACAUUGGUUGGGAUUGAGGAACUCAGCGCGCCGCAAGGCCGGGUUUUUAACCACGUACGUGCUUAGGAUGCUGGCAUAAUGGCUUUAAUCGACCCGUCUUGAAACACGGACCAAGGAGUCUAACAUGCCUGCGAGUGUUUGGGUGAAAAACCCGAGCGCGUAAUGAAAGUGAAAGUUGAGAUCCCUGUCGUGGGGAGCAUUGACGCCCGGAUCUGACCUUUUGUGACGAU
rnacentral:rRNA from 1 species